rnacentral:pre_miRNA from 1 species
AGUCUGAUGUCAGUCUGACAGCGAUUUGCCAUCGUUCUGUCGGUCUGAUAUCGGUCUGC